GCAUGAUUAUUGUUUCAAUUAAAAAUUUAAAAGGGGGAAGAUGUUCUUUGCUGAUGAAACUAUUUUAGAACAGUUUGCUAAAACACAUUUCUUAGAAUAAAUGGAAUAAAUACUAUAUUAUCUAUAUACAUGUAUAUGUGGAAGUCCCGUUCCACAUACAGGACUUUGCGAUUGUAUUUAAUCUACAGAUCAGUUUGGGGAGAAUUGACAUCUAUGAUACAUUGAAUUUUCCAAUUACUGGCUUGAUCUUUCAUUUGUUUAGUCUUUCUUAAAUUUCCCUCAAUUACUAUAUCUAUAUACAUGUAUAUAGAUAUAGUAAUCUAGAUAGCAAUAUUAUAACAUUUUGCAGGGGGGCAUGCAGUAGUACAAUUUGAUGAUCUCCAAUCUUUUAACCACUGUGUGGAAUUUCAUUGUAUGUAUCAUUAAAGUUCUAACCAUUUGUUAACAUAAAUAUUUAGGUUGUCUCUGAUUAUUUUCUAUUUUAGAAAUAUUGUAAUGAACAUCCAUGAGUAUGUGUAUAGAAGUAUUUGGAUUGAAAUUGUUGACUCCAGUGUCAUUUACAUUGUAAUUUUUUAUAGGAAAAUUUUAAAUGGCUCUUCAAACUGAUUGAGACAAUAAAUACUGUAUGGCAAGGACCUUUCUCCAGUUUUGCCAACAGUGAUAAUCACUUUUCAAUGAAUGCUUUGGUGAAUACAAUGAAUACAGUUUUACUUAACCUUUAAAUGUUCUAUUUAGCACAAAAACUGUGUGUGUGUGUGUGUGUGUGUGUGUAUUUUGCUGGGGAUUGGACCCAGGGCCUUGUGCAUGUGAGGAAAGCCCUCUACCAACUGAACUAUGUCCCCAGCCCACAAAAAUGACUUCUUUGAGAAUCCAGCACCUCUAAUUGUAUCAGGCACCUUGUGACACUCAAUGUAUCUGUCAUGGGGCUGAGGCUGUGGCUCAGCUAAGGUAGCACGCUUGUCUG
rnacentral:lncRNA from 1 species